AUGGACGAUGGUAACUAUGGAAAGAAACUACAGCGGCAAAAAGAAAAGAGACCCGCAUGCGCUCCUCCGACUCACCCACCCGCCGCAACUACACCAUCGCCGCCGGCCGCCUCCCCACCCGCGCCUCCACCCAUGCCGCCGCAGCGUCUCCGCGGAUCGGAGCGGCAGGCGCCGCCUCCCUGCGCACCUAUACUGCAGGAGGUGGAUUUCCCCCUCCCUUUUGUAUACGAAGCCUUCCCGGAGACGCUGCGUCUGAUCCGCUCGGUAUCGGACGAGAUGCUGCGGGACUUGAGGGAGCAGAGGUGGUUGGAGCGGGCGAAGCGGAUCAGCGACGAUUCCUUCUCGUGGAUGCAGUGCGAGAAGGAAUGGAGGGAGGCGAUGGAAGGUGCGCAGGUGGAAUCAGAUCCAGAUCUCAAGCUCUUGAAGGAGAGGUAUGUUCAAAAACUUGUCGGAUCCAAGCAGAUCGAGAGAUGA
rnacentral:rRNA from 1 species